GAUGAAGAACGUAGCGAAAUGCGAUAAGUAAUGCGAAUUGCAGAAUUCCAGUGAGUCAUCGAAUCUUUGAACGCACAUUGCGCCCUUUGGUAUUCCGAAGGGCAUGCCUGUUCGAGCGUCAUUAUCACCCCUCAAGCCCUCGGCUUGGUGUUGGACGGUUUGGUGGAGGCCCCCUCGGGGGUUCCUGCCCCUCCCAAAGACAAUGACGGCGGCCUCGUUGGACCCCCGGUACACUGAGUUCUACACGGGACACGUAUCGGACACAUGGGUUUACGGGACACGGUCUGCCUCCCCUCAGGGAGAAUCUUUCUAAGGUUGACCUCGGAUCAGGUAGGGAUACCCGCUGAACUUAAGCAUAUCAAUAAGCGGAGGA
rnacentral:misc_RNA from 1 species